rnacentral:rRNA from 1 species
GUAGUAAUGUCUGGGAAACUGCCUGAUGGAGGGGGAUAACUACUGGAAACGGUAGCUAAUACCGCAUAACGUCGCAAGACCAAAGAGGGGGACCUUCGGGCCUCUUGCCAUCAGAUGUGCCCAGAUGGGAUUAGCUAGUAGGUGGGGUAACGGCUCACCUAGGCGACGAUCCCUAGCUGGUCUGAGAGGAUGACCAGCCACACUGGAACUGAGACACGGUCCAGACUCCUACGGGAGGCAGCAGUGGGGAAUAUUGCACAAUGGGCGCAAGCCUGAUGCAGCCAUGCCGCGUGUAUGAAGAAGGCCUUCGGGUUGUAAAGUACUUUCAGCGGGGAGGAAGGUGCUGAGGUUAAUAACCUCAGCAAUUGACGUUACCCGCAGAAGAAGCACCGGCUAACUCCGUGCCAGCAGCCGCGGUAAUACGGAGGGUGCAAGCGUUAAUCGGAAUUACUGGGCGUAAAGCGCACGCAGGCGGUCUGUCAAGUCGGAUGUGAAAUCCCCGGG